GAUGAAGAACGCAGCGAAAUGCGAUAAGUAGUGUGAAUUGCAGAAUUCAGUGAAUCAUCGAAUCUUUGAACGCACAUUGCGCCCCUUGGUAUUCCAUGGGGCAUGCCUGUUCGAGCGUCAUUUGUACCUUCAAGCUUUGCUUGGUGUUGGGUGUUUGUCUCCCCUUUGCGUGUAGACUCGCCUUAAAAUAAUUGGCAGCCGGCGUAUUGAUUUCGGAGCGCAGUACAUCUCGCGCUUUGCACUCAUAACGACAGCGUCCAAAAGUACAUUUUACACUCUUGACCUCGGAUCAGGUAGGGAUACCCGCUGAACUUAAGCAUAUCAAUAAGCGGAGGA
rnacentral:misc_RNA from 1 species